ACGCAGAAAUAAUGGCGUGUGUGGCUCUAAAGUAACUCCCGGUGUGUGUCCUCCUCCCCCCGGCCGACACAAAUAACCGCCCGCUUUCAGCAGCAGCAGCUUGCCGUGGCUUCGUCGAUGCGGCCACUAACGGCCAACGCGGUGGUUUUGGGGAAGCUAGCUGGCUUAGCUACAGGCUAACCGUUGCCCCCUUUUAAUAAACGUUGCGGAGCGCGAGAGCAGCCGCUCCAGCAUCGCCCGCCAUUAGACAGCACCGCGGCAACGGAAAAGGACUGCCAACACACACACACCCCGAAAAGAGUCACCCUUUUCUCGAUCAAACCAGCUUUCAUUAAGGGGGUAAAGUGGAAUAUUCGUCGUCUUCCGAGUGUAAGACCCGGGUUGUUCAACGACUCGCUUUUGAGGUCGAAGUUUGCGAAGGAGAUUGAACGGAAAUUUAGUGAGGAAAAAAAAAAACAAAGAUGGAGACGGUUCCUUUCUGCCAGGGCUUCAAAGACGACAGAGCGACAACAUGGCGACUCCACAACUACAUGCAAGUUGCGGCUUGAGCGGAAACGCCGACCGUCGAGUGUUUGUUGCCCACUCAUGAAGCGCGGAGCACCGGAUCUCCGUGUCACGCAGGCAGGCAGGCUGCACUCGGUCAACGAGGCCUCCACCCCAGCCAGCACGUCGAUUUGGUCAGCAGCGAACGCAAAGUUUAAGAUAAUUAUUGUUAACGUUGCUGGAACAUACGGUCGUUAAAUUCAAAGUUAUGUUUGGAUUAAUUAUUUCGUCUUUUGGCCGUUGUAGGGAACAGGCAACAUGGCGACACCGAAGUUGGCUUCCGAAUUGUUGCCUCGUUGAGUAAAGGGCCGUUUCACCACUUUUAACCUGGAACAAACUACCUGAAAAUAUAGUUGCUAAUCUUUGAAACUUUGAUUCCUUUUGUGGAAGACCAGUAUCUUAUUGCAAUAAUUGCAGGAAUAAAACGCUAACCCUGUUUUAAGUAUUGUAUUUUUGCUGAUCUACAGCUAAAUCACUACCACAAGGCUAAAGUUUUACAAAUUGAAUACAGGUUACACAUAUCAUAGGAUGUUUUGUUAGGAAUCCAACAUUUAGACAAUUAAGCUUGUUUUGGAUCCGUUUAAGUAUUUCUUUUUGGAGAUUUGGCUUUACACAGCAAGAAAAUAAGGCACCCGUAUUGUCCUUUUUAAUCCAUAAUGCAAGAUAAAAAGUGUAAGAUAUGAAAUAACAGCUUUGUUUGAGUAUAAAGCAUCAGUCAGAAAAAGCAUAUUGAAACAUUGCAAUUUGAAUCAGGUUACAAAAUCAAACUGUAAUAAAUACAAUGUUUUAACUGAAGUUUCAGGGAUAUUUAAAACAUUUUUCAAUGAAAUGUGAGACAAUCCAUCUUAGGUUAGAUCAGCACUGUUAGAUGAACCUGGUGGUUUUGUGUUCUCUAAAAACAAAUGUCUUACAGACCUCCUCAGCUUUGCUGCAAUAUUUUUGGCGUUUUAAUCUGGAAGCUGAAACUGUUUCUUUGUGGGGCUCUUUAAACUAGUCUCUGCUGUUCCACUACCACUAACUAGUUGUAAAGCGUUUGUUACUAGUGUACAAUAAGCCAGUUUUCAGUUUAGACUUGGUGAAGUAUUGCAGUAUUUCAAGUUGGACCAAAUCUAAAGGUGAGAUAUGUACUAAAAAAA